AGUGAACGCUGGCGGUAGGCCUAACACAUGCAAGUCGAACGGCAGCACAGUAAGAGCUUGCUCUUACGGGUGGCGAGUGGCGGACGGGUGAGGAAUACAUCGGAAUCUACUUUUUCGUGGGGGAUAACGUAGGGAAACUUACGCUAAUACCGCAUACGACCUACGGGUGAAAGCAGGGGAUCUUCGGACCUUGCGCGAUUGAAUGAGCCGAUGUCGGAUUAGCUAGUUGGCGGGGUAAAGGCCCACCAAGGCGACGAUCCGUAGCUGGUCUGAGAGGAUGAUCAGCCACACUGGAACUGAGACACGGUCCAGACUCCUACGGGAGGCAGCAGUGGGGAAUAUUGGACAAUGGGCGCAAGCCUGAUCCAGCCAUACCGCGUGGGUGAAGAAGGCCUUCGGGUUGUAAAGCCCUUUUGUUGGGAAAGAAAAGCAGCAGGUUAAGACCCCGCUGUUCUUACGGUACCCAAAGAAUAAGCACCGGCUAACUUCGU
rnacentral:rRNA from 1 species